UUUAGGGUUCCCUCCCUUCGCUAAAAAAAAUUGGCCCUUUUCUUCCCCUGCGUGUUUGACUCAGCCUCUCUCACCCGCUUCUCUUCGGUCGAUUACCGCCUCCCUCCCUCUCUCUCUCUCUCUCUCUCUCUCUCUCCCUCAGUGGUGACUCUCUUCACUCUUCAGCCUCCAUCUCUCUCUCUCCAUCUCCUAACCCAAUUCCCUCAUUCUUUGUUCUUUACCGCAACCCUCUUUCUCUCUCUCUCUCCAUUUUCGAUUUAAUCCAUCUCCGGUCCAUUUAACAGACAGAACACAGCAACCUGCUAGGCUGUAACCAGCAACCCAUCUCCGGUCUCCGAGCUCCGCCUCCAGCCUUUCAAGCCCCACCGGCCACUGCCGAACUCGGGGUUGAAGACUUGGAGCACUCCCGAGUCCCGAACACGGAACACAACGAGCAAGGCUAUAACCAGCAACCAGCAACCCGUCUCCUCCUGUCCGGUCUCCGAGCUCCGCCUCCAGGACACAGCUCUUCAAAUCACCUAAUGCUUCCCAUCCAGAGACACAAUGGAGGGAGAUUCACGAAAUGCUUCUCUUGUUAACAAUUAAAGCAGCGAGAGCCGGCACUAACAGCUGCGGUUGCAGAGAAGGCAAGAUCGCCAGGGCCAAGAAGGUAAAGGAGUUUCAGUCUGGCAAAAGUUGUUAGAAUCUCAGAGUAGUUGCAUAUAUUCAAGAAGUUGGAAAGUCCAGGUUUUUAAACUCCUACAGGCAAGGGUUUGAGAGUUUUAAGGAUUUUGCCCCAAGAUGAGUUUCAAUGUUGCUGGCAAGCUGUUUAUUCUGCAGUGUGGUUGCUGCAGUGUUGUUGUUUAUGGAGUUACUGGGAUUCUCAACCAAAAAAUGGCUAACAACUGGGGUCUCGGCACAAUAUUGCUCACUCUUGU
rnacentral:lncRNA from 1 species